rnacentral:rRNA from 1 species
AGAGUUUGAUCCUGGCUCAGAACGAACGCUGGCGGCGUGGAUAAGACAUGCAAGUCGAACGGAUUUGGUGCUGUAGCAAUACAGUGCCAGGUCAGUGGCGCAAGGGUGCGUAACACGUGGGCAACCUGCCCUGGAGUCUGGAAUAGCCCGCCGAAAGGCGGAUUAAUACCGGAUGUGGCUACCUACCGAUUGGUGGGGACGCUAAAGGUGGCGCAAGCUGCCGCUCCUGGAUGGGCCCGCGGCCUAUCAGCUAGUUGGUGAGGUAACGGCCCACCAAGGCGAUGACGGGUAGCUGGUCUGAGAGGACGACCAGCCACACUGGAACUGAGACACGGUCCAGACACCUACGGGUGGCAGCAGUCGAGAAUUUUUCGCAAUGGGGGAAACCCUGACGGAGCGACGCCGCGUGGAGGAUGAAGGUCUUCGGAUUGUAAACUCCUGUCAUUGGUGAACAAAGUACUGAAGUUAACUGCCUUGGUGCCUGCUAGUAGCCGAAGAGGAAGGGACGGCUAACUCUGUGCCAGCAGCCGCGGUAAUACAGAGGUCCCGAGCGUUGUUCGGAUUCAUUGGGCGUAAAGGGUGCGUAGGCGGUCUGCUAAGUUUGAUGUGAAAUCCCGGGGCUCAACCCUGGAAUUGCAUUGAAUACUGGCGGACUAGAGUACCGGAGAGGAAACUGGAAUUUACGGUGUAGCAGUGAAAUGCGUAGAGAUCGUAAGGAAGACCAGUGGCGAAGGCGAGUUUCUGGACGGUAACUGACGCUGAGGCACGAAGGCCAGGGGAGCAAACGGGAUUAGAUACCCCCGUAGUCC